AUUGAACGCUGGCGGCAGGCCUAACACAUGCAAGUCGAGCGGGGUUUUCGGACCUAGCGGCGGACGGGUGAGUAAUGCGUAGGAAGCUGCCCGAUAGAGGGGGAUACCAGUUGGAAACGACUGUUAAUACCGCAUAAUGUCUACGGACCAAAGUGUGGGACCUUCGGGCCACAUGCUAUCGGAUGCGCCUACGUGGGAUUAGCUAGUUGGUGGGGUAAUGGCUCACCAAGGCGACGAUCCCUAGCUGGUUUGAGAGGAUGAUCAGCCACACUGGAACUGAGACACGGUCCAGACUCCUACGGGAGGCAGCAGUGGGGAAUAUUGGACAAUGGGCGCAAGCCUGAUCCAGCCAUGCCGCGUGUGUGAAGAAGGCCUUCGGGUUGUAAAGCACUUUCAGUAGGGAGGAAGGGUGUUGUGUUAAUAGCACAGCAUUUUGACGUUACCUACAGAAGAAGCUCCGGCUAACUCUGUGCCAGCAGCCGCCGUAAGAC
rnacentral:rRNA from 1 species